rnacentral:lncRNA from 1 species
UGUUCUGUGCAUCUUUAUAUAUAUAUUGAUAUGAAACCAUACAGAGUUAUAAUCUGAUGUGAUAAAAUACCAUUAUGGAAAAUGAAUGAUAUAGAACAGUUUUCAGAUUCCCCACUUAACUAUCCAUAAUACAUAUGUGAAUCCAUCUGUGAAUGCAAAAUUCAUUUACACAUGCAAAUUGCGUAACUGAUUGAACAGUUACCAGACUUGUGUGCUCAAGUGGUGGACUAUUUUAACAUCUACCUCAAAUUGCAUGGAUCUAAUGUAGGCGUUCUGCUGAGUUUAUGACUAAUAUCCCUCAGGGGAGACCUAUGAAAGAGAGAAAAUUAUCUGUCAAGAACAUACUUAACCUGAUUAGUUUGAGCUUAAACAUUCAAGCAGCCUUUGAACCUAAGCAGAGAUGGUUCCAGGAACCUUCUCUAAGACAAGCGCCUCUGACUGCAGGUUCAGGAUUGGCGUCUCUUCCUUAUUAAAGGAACAUAUUGUACAAGUAAAAGGAUAUUAUGCUGGAUCUGGAAAAUAUUUUACAAGUAUGUAGUAAGUGUGUGUUUAGAUGCUUAAAUACUAUAUUGCACUACUUUCAGACAGUAUUGUAUAUUUACGGCAUGACCGUCACUCAAGAGGCUACAUAUGGCAGAGUUUGUUUUUCAGUUCCACUGCUUUUUAUGUUUCUGUUCACCACUAUCAUGUCUAACUGUUCCUCUUGCUUUACACAUCCACUGACUGCAUGCUUCUUCUAAGAGAGUAUAGACCAUCCAUCUCUAUGCAAAGAAGGGACAAAAAGUGUUUUGUUUUCUUGUUUUUUUAAAGUGUUGUUUCUCCUCAUAUGCUGGACCUUGAGAGAAGAAUGUACCUUCAGAAGCGACCAGCGCCCUUCAAAUUCUUAUCUAAAGGAAUCCCAAAGGAAACCUUGGAGCUCUUACAAAAAUUUGGACUGUCUGUUAUUUAUCAGAUUUACAAGGACACUGGUCGUUGGCUAUCAAGCCCUCUUGGAGCCACCAACUUUUCUCUCCCCUUCCCCUUGCUUUUAACUGUAGAAGUAAACAUUGACUUAAGUUUGGUUCAUGCUAUCGAUCUGUAGUACAAACAGGUUAACUAUAAAUGCUGGCAAGAUCUUAGCUCAGUACUAGCCCUGAAGCCCUGACAUCAGCGCCUGGUUAUGUCAAGUUACAGGCUCUCUAGCAACUGACAACAAACAUUUGGACCCAGCCUUUUCUGGGUGGGGAAACUCUAAGAGCAUCUUUCUCCCAGUAACCAGUGGGCUGCUAUAAUUUCUCUGAUUUGCUAGUCAGAGCCUUUAAUGGUGCACAUUUCUGAACAUCUUCUUAGUUACAAAGUUCC